GAUCAUGGCUCAGAUUGAACGCUGGCGGCAGGCCUAACACAUGCAAGUCGAACGGUAACAGGAAGCAGCUUGCUGCUUUGCUGACGAGUGGCGGACGGGUGAGUAAUGUCUGGGAAACUGCCUGAUGGAGGGGGAUAACUACUGGAAACGGUAGCUAAUACCGCAUAACGUCGCAAGACCAAAGAGGGGGACCUUCGGGCCUCUUGCCAUCGGAUGUGCCCAGAUGGGAUUAGCUAGUAGGUGGGGUAACGGCUCACCUAGGCGACGAUCCCUAGCUGGUCUGAGAGGAUGACCAGCCACACUGGAACUGAGACACGGUCCAGACUCCUACGGGAGGCAGCAGUGGGGAAUAUUGCACAAUGGGCGCAAGCCUGAUGCAGCCAUGCCGCGUGUAUGAAGAAGGCCUUCGGGUUGUAAAGUACUUUCAGCGGGGAGGAAGGGAGUAAAGUUAAUACCUUUGCUCAUUGACGUUACCCGCAGAAGAAGCACCGGCUAACUCCGUGCCAGCAGCCGCGGUAAUACGGAGGGUGCAAGCGUUAAUCGGAAUUACUGGGCGUAAAGCGCACGCAGGCGGUUUGUUAAGUCAGAUGUGAAAUCCCCGGGCUCAACCUGGGAACUGCAUCUGAUACUGGCAAGCUUGAGUCUCGUAGAGGGGGGUAGAAUUCCAGGUGUAGCGGUGAAAUGCGUAGAGAUCUGGAGGAAUACCGGUGGCGAAGGCGGCCCCCUGGACGAAGACUGACGCUCAGGUGCGAAAGCGUGGGGAGCAAACAGGAUUAGAUACCCUGGUAGUCCACGCCGUAAACGAUGUCGACUUGGAGGUUGUGCCCUUGAGGCGUGGCUUCCGGAGCUAACGCGUUAAGUCGACCGCCUGGGGAGUACGGCCGCAAGGUUAAAACUCAAAUGAAUUGACGGGGGCCCGCACAAGCGGUGGAGCAUGUGGUUUAAUUCGAUGCAACGCGAAGAACCUUACCUGGUCUUGACAUCCACGGAAGUUUUCAGAGAUGAGAAUGUGCCUUCGGGAACCGUGAGACAGGUGCUGCAUGGCUGUCGUCAGCUCGUGUUGUGAAAUGUUGGGUUAAGUCCCGCAACGAGCGCAACCCUUAUCCUUUGUUGCCAGCGGUCCGGCCGGGAACUCAAAGGAGACUGCCAGUGAUAAACUGGAGGAAGGUGGGGAUGACGUCAAGUCAUCAUGGCCCUUACGACCAGGGCUACACACGUGCUACAAUGGCGCAUACAAAGAGAAGCGACCUCGCGAGAGCAAGCGGACCUCAUAAAGUGCGUCGUAGUCCGGAUUGGAGUCUGCAACUCGACUCCAUGAAGUCGGAAUCGCUAGUAAUCGUGGAUCAGAAUGCCACGGUGAAUACGUUCCCGGGCCUUGUACACACCGCCCGUCACACCAUGGGAGUGGGUUGCAAAAGAAGUAGGUAGCUUAACCUUCGGGAGGGCGCUUACCACUUUGUGAUUCAUGACUGGGGUGAAGUCGUAACAAGGUAACCGUAGGGGAACCUGCGGUUGGAUCACCUCCUU
rnacentral:rRNA from 1 species